rnacentral:rRNA from 1 species
AGUGGCGGACGGGUGAGUAACACGUGAGAAUCUGCCCAUAGGACGGGGACAACAGUGGGAAACUGCUGCUAAUACCGGAUGAGCCGAGAGGUAAAACAUUUAUGGCCUAUGGAGGAGCUCGCGACUGAUUAGCUAGUUGGUGGGGUAAAGGCCUACCAAGGCGACGAUCAGUAGCUGGUCUGAGAGGAUGAUCAGCCACACUGGGACUGAGACACGGCCCAGACUCCUACGGGAGGCAGCAGUGGGGAAUUUUCCGCAAUGGGGGCAACCCUGACGGAGCAACGCCGCGUGAGGGAAGAAUGGUUGUGGCCAGUAAACCUCUUUUAAUAGGGAAGAAUUCUGACGGUACCUAUUGAAUAAGCAUCGGCUAACUCCGUGCCAGCAGCCGCGGUAAUACGGAGGAUGCAAGCGU